CAGCCGCCGCGGUAAUACAGAGGAUGCAAGCGUUAUCCGGAAUGAUUGGGCGUAAAGCGUCUGUAGGUGGCUUUUCAAGUCAGUCGUCAAAUCCCUGGGCUCAACCCUGGACAAGCGGUGGAAACUACCAAGCUGGAGUAUAGUAGGGGCAGAGUGAAUUUCCGGUGGAGCGAUGAAAUGCGUUGAGAUCAGAAAGAACACCAACGGCGAAAGCACUCUGCUGGGCCGACACUGACACUGAGAGACGAAAGCUAGGGGAGCAAAUGGGAUUAGAUACCCCCGUAGUCCCUGUCUCUUAUAC
rnacentral:rRNA from 1 species